rnacentral:rRNA from 1 species
UGCGAAGGGUGCAAGCGUUAAUCGGAAUUACUGGGCGUAAAGCGUGCGUAGGCGGUUUGUUAAGUCUGUUGUGAAAUCCCCGGGCUCAACCUGGGAAUGGCAAUGGAUACUGGCAGGCUAGAGUGUGUCAGAGGAUGGUGGAAUUCCCGGUGUAGCGGUGAAAUGCGUAGAGAUCGGGAGGAACAUCAGUGGCGAAGGCGGCCAUCUGGGACAACACUGACGCUGAGGCACGAAAGCGUGGGGAGCAAACAGG